GAUUAACGCUGGCGGCGUGCCUAACACAUGCAAGUCGAGCGGCAGCGAGUUUUACACUGACUUCUGGAAGCUUCUAGUUGCAAGAGAAGAUUUAUUCAAGAAUUUUGUGUAAAAUGUCGGCGAGCGGCGGACGGCUGAGUAACGCGUGGGAACGUACCCCAAAGUGGGGGAUACCGCAUCGAAAGGUGUGUUAAUACCGCAUAUGGUCUUCGGAUUAAAGCCUUCGGGCGCUUUGGGAACGGCCUGCGUAAGAUUAGAUAGUUGGUGGGGUAAUGGCCUACCAAGGCGACGAUCUUUAACUGGUUUGAGAGGAUGAUCAGUCAGACUGGAACUGAGACACGGUCCAGACUCCUACGGGAGGCAGCAGUGAGGAAUCUACCACAACGGGCGAAAGCCUGAUGGCGCAACGCCGCGUGCAGGAUGAAGGCCGUCGGGAUGUAAACUGCUUUUAUAAGUGAGGAUUAUGACAGUAACUUAUGAAUAAGGAUCGGCUAACUACGUG
rnacentral:rRNA from 1 species